CUUCCCAUACGGGUUGAAGCAUGACCGUAAGGACAUGUGGACAGUAUGGGAGUGAGAAUGUUGGCAUGAGUAGCGAGAUGUGGGUGGGAAUCCCACAGGCCGUAAACCCAAGGUUUCCAGGGGAAGGGUCGUCCGCCCUGGGUUAGUCGGGACCUAAGCUGAGGCCGAAAGGCGUAGGUGAUGGACAACAGGUGGAUAUUCCUGUACUACCGAUAACCGUUUGAGAGAAGGGAUGACACAGUAGGAUAAGCUAAG
rnacentral:rRNA from 1 species